rnacentral:rRNA from 1 species
GAUACCCUAUUAUUUUUAAUGUACAAAUGAACCUUGAUUAUUAAUAGUUAUGGUCUUUAAAAUUAAAGGAUUUGGCGGUAUUUUAGUCUGUUCAGAGAAACCUGUUUUUUAAUUGAUGGUCCACGAUAAUAUUUACUUUUUCUUUUUAUAUGUCGUUGUUUAUAAAAAUUUUAGGAAAACAAUAAUUUUUAAUUUUUUUAAUAAAAGUUUAUUUUAGAUCAAGGUGUAGUUUAUGAAAAAGUUAGAAUGGGUUACAUUACGGUUAUGUUUGGUUUUUGAAUUUUAAAUUUAAGAUAAAUUGGAUUUGCUAGUAAGUUAUUUAUUUUUGGGAAUUGAUUUAGCUCUAAAAUAUGCACACAUCGCC